UACAGAGGUCUCGAGCGUUGUUCGGAUUCAUUGGGCGUAAAGGGCGCGUAGGCGGCGGGGUAAGUCUGGUGUGAAAUCUCGGAGCUCAACCCCGAAACUGCACUGGAUACUGCCUUGCUCGAGUACUGGAGAGGAGAUUGGAAUUUACGGUGUAGCAGUGAAAUGCGUAGAUAUCGUAAGGAAGACCAGUGGCGAAGGCGAAUCUCUGGACAGUUACUGACACUGAGGCACGAAGGCCAGGGGAGCAAACGGG
rnacentral:rRNA from 1 species